GGCCAGCAGCCGCGGUAAUACAGAGACUGCAAGCGUUAUUCGGAUUCACUGGGCGUAAAGGGUGCGCAGGCGGCCAAGUGUGUGAGGCGUGAAAGCCCGGGGCUUAACCCCGGAAUUGCACCUCAAACUACAUGGCUAGAGCAUUGGAGAGGGUAGCGGAAUUCACGGUGUAGCAGUGAAAUGCGUAGAUAUCGUGAGGAACACCAGAGGCGAAGGCGGCUACCUGGACAAUUGCUGACGCUCAGGCACGAAAGCGUGGGGAGCAAAAGGGAUUAGAUACCCCUGUAGUCCACGCCCUAAACGGUGCACACUAGGUCUUGGCGGAUUCGACCCCACCAGGGCCCAAGCUAACGCGUUAAGUGUGCCGCCUGAGGACUACGGUCGCAAGACUAAAACUUAAAGGAAUUGGCGGGGGAU
rnacentral:rRNA from 1 species